rnacentral:lncRNA from 10 species
CACACAAAGACUUCCCCAGGUGCCUCCCUGAGAAAUUCUCAUUCAGCAGGUUUGAAGUGAGACCUGUCAAUCUCAAUGUUUAAAAAGCACCCCUGAGAGAUUCUGAUUUCCAGACAAGUUUCCAGACACUAAAACAAUUGAACCGUGGUCUCAGCCCUGGCUGCAUAUUCCUUCAACGGGAGGGCUUUAGAAAUGCUGUGCCAGAGCUGCACCCCAGACCAACAAAAUCAGACUCUCCAGGAUGCGGCCAAGGCAUCAGUAUGUGGAAAGCUUUCAGGAAAACUGAGCAAAAUGAAAGCCAAUUCAAAGAAGAAGGAAUUAAGUACAUAAUUGUGCAGAUGAUACAUGGAAAUGGAAUAAGUCUGGAGGGCAGCAAGAGUGACUGUCCAGCUAAGAACCUCAUCAGCAAUACAAAACAUUGUCACAGAUGUUGAAACAGACCCUGAGGUUAAUGCAUUCUUUCCAACAUUAGGUCCUAAAACUUCUCCUGAAAAGCUACCUUAAAUCUAACUUUUGAAAGUGCACAAUAAAGGUGAAUUAAAUAAAAGCAACUUGAAAUUU